rnacentral:rRNA from 1 species
CAACAGCGUAUAUUAAAGUUGUUGCAGUUAAAACGCUCGUAGUCGGAUUUCGGGGCGGGCGGGCCGGUCUGCCGAUGGGUAUGCACUGGUCUGGCCGUCCUUCCUUCCGGAGACCGUGCGUGCUCUUAACUGAGUGCGCUCGGGAGACGGAUCGUUUACUUUGAAAAAUCAGAGUGUUUCAAGCAGGCAGCUCGCUCUUGCAUGGAUUAGCAUGGGAUAAUGAAAUAGGACUUUGGUGCUAUUUUGUUGGUUUCGAACACCGAAGUAAUGAUUAACAGGGACAGUCAGGGGCACUCGUAUUCCGCCGAGAGAGGUGAAAUUCUCAGACCAGCGGAAGACGAACCACUGCGAAAGCAUUUGCCAGGGAUGUUUNCACUG